UACGUAGGGGGCGAGCGUUAUCCGGAUUUACUGGGUGUAAAGGGAGCGUAGACGGACUGGCAAGUCUGAUGUGAAAGGCGGGGGCUCAACCCCUGGACUGCAUUGGAAACUGUUAGUCUUGAGUGCCGGAGAGGUAAGCGGAAUUCCUAGUGUAGCGGUGAAAUGCGUAGAUAUUAGGAGGAACACCAGUGGCGAAGGCGGCUUACUGGACGGUAACUGACGUUGAGGCUCGAAAGCGUGGGGAGCAAACAGG
rnacentral:rRNA from 1 species